GAGUUUGAUCGUGGCUCAGAUUGAACGCUGGCGGCGUGCUUAACACAUGCAAGUCGAGCGGUAACAGGCGUAGCAAUACGUGCUGACGAGCGGCGAACGGGUGAGUAAUGCUUCGGAAUCUUCCUCGUAGUGGGGAAUAACCUGGGGAAACUCAGGCUAAUACCGCAUACGAACUACGGUUGAAAGCAGGGGAUCGCAAGACCUUGCGCUAUGAGAUGAGCCGAAGUCGGAUUAGCUAGUUGGUGAGGUAAAGGCUCACCAAGGCGACGAUCCGUAGCUGGUCUGAGAGGACGACCAGCCACACUGGGACUGAGACACGGCCCAGACUCCUACGGGAGGCAGCAGUGGGGAAUAUUGGACAAUGGGGGCAACCCUGAUCCAGCGACGCCGCGUGUGUGAAGAAGGCCUGCGGGUUGUAAAGCACUUUUAGUGGGGAUGAAAAGCCAAGGGCUAAUACCCUUUGGUCUUGACCUAACCCAAAGAAAAAGCACCGGCUAACUCUGUGCCAGCAGCCGCCGCC
rnacentral:rRNA from 1 species